rnacentral:rRNA from 1 species
CCUACGGGGGGCUGCAGUGGGGAAUAUUGGACAAUGGGGGGAACCCUGAUCCAGUCAUGCCGCGUGUGUGAAGAAGGCCCUCGGGUUGUAAAGCACUUUCAGUGAGGAAGAACGCCUGGUGGUUAAUACCCAUCAGGAAAGACAUCACUCACAGAAGAAGCACCGGCUAACUCCGUGCCAGCAGCCGCGGUAAUACGGAGGGUGCGAGCGUUAAUCGGAAUUACUGGGCGUAAAGCGCGCGUAGGUGGCUUGAUAAGCCGGUUGUGAAAGCCCCGGGCUCAACCUGGGAACGGCAUCCGGAACUGUCAAGCUAGAGUGCAGGAGAGGAAGGUAGAAUUCCCGGUGUAGCGGUGAAAUGCGUAGAGAUCGGGAGGAAUACCAGUGGCGAAGGCGGCCUUCUGGACUGAAACUGACACUGAGGUGCGAAAGCGUGGGUAGCAAACAGGAUUAGAUACCCCUGUAGUC